GCCGGGUGUGAUGGCAGGCACCUGUAAUCCCAGCUACUAGGGAGGCUGAGGCAGGAGAAUUGCUUGAACCCAGGAGGUAGAGGUUGCAGUGAGCCAAGAUUGAGUCACUGCAUUCUAGCCUGGGUGACAGAGCAAGACUCAGCCUCAA
rnacentral:sRNA from 1 species